CCUACGGGAGGCAGCAGUGAGGAAUAUUGGUCAAUGGGCGCGAGCCUGAACCACCACCGUCGCUUGUGUUCCUCCUUCCCUCCUUUUUUUCCCCCUCUUUUUCCUUUUAUCACCGGGCGCCACGUGUGGCGUCACUGAGAGUACCCGGAGAAAAAGCAUCGGCCAACUCCGUGCCAGCAGCCGAGGUAGUACGGAGGAUGCGAGCGUUAUCGGGAUUGAUUGGGUUAGAAGGGUGCGUAGGCGGAUUGUUAAGUCAGUGGGAAAAUUGAGGGGCUCAACCCCUUCCCGCCAUUGAAACUGGCGUUCUUGAGUGGAGGAGAGGUAUGCGGAAUGCGUGGUGUAGCGGUGAAAUGCAUAGAUAUCACGCAGAACCCCGAUUGCGAAGGCAGCAUGCCGGCUUCCGACUGACGCUGAGGCACGAAAGCGUGGGGAUCGAACAGGAUUAGAGAAAAGAGUAGUC
rnacentral:rRNA from 1 species